rnacentral:rRNA from 1 species
UACGGAGGAUCCGAGCGUUAUCCGGAUUUAUUGGGUUUAAAGGGUGCGUAGGCGGCCUAUUAAGUCAGGGGUGAAAGACGGUAGCUUAACUAUCGCAGUGCCUUUGAUACUGAUGGGCUUGAAUGUAGUUGAGGUAAGCGGAAUAUGUCAUGUAGCGGUGAAAUGCUUAGAUAUGACAUAGAACGCCAAUUGCGAAGGCAGCUUACUACACAACGAUUGACGCUGAGGCACGAAAGCGUGGGGAUCAAACAGG